rnacentral:rRNA from 1 species
CACGUAGGGGGCGAGCGUUGUCCGGAUUUAUUGGGCGUAAAGAGCUCGUAGGCGGUUCGGCAAGUCGGGUGUGAAAUUUCGAGGCUCAACCUCGAAACGCCACUCGAUACUGCUGUGACUGGAGUCCGGUAGAGGAGUGCGGAAUUCCUGGUGUAGCGGUGAAAUGCGCAGAUAUCAGGAGGAACACCAACGGCGAAAGGCAGCACUCUGGGCCGGUACUGACGCUGAGGAGCGAAAGCGUGGGGAGCAAACAGG